rnacentral:lncRNA from 1 species
GACGACUCAGACGACUACGAGAGUCCUCAAGUUCAAGUGUUCAACAAAGAGAGUGAGAGACAACGAAUCAACGAUCCACAGUUCCAUACUUCGAUCGAUCUCCCGUGCCGAGUCGCCGACUGACGAGUCACGACUCACGAGUGACGUCUGUGUUACUGUGUAGCUUCUUCUUCAGUUCUUCCCUACAGGCUACAGCCUACAGGUAGCUUCGUCUUCUCUACACUUCGAUCGAUCGACACUGCUAUGUUCUGUUUUUGUUUUUACUUUUUAGUUUGUUUCUGGCUUUAUGCUACACUUCUGUUUUUGUUUCAGUUUGUUUUCACUUUUCAGUUUGGGGUUACUAAAUUUCUUCAAUUUUGGUAAAACCUUGCAAUUUCGGCAAAGAAGAGAAGCAAUUUCUGCAAUUUCUUUUGUUGAUAAAACCUAAAAUCUUUUGUUGGGGUUACUAAAUUUCUGCAAUUUCUGCAAGUGAAACAUGAUGAGUUAAUGAUCAAGCAACCAUGUAUUUACUCUUGAUCAUCAUUGUGCAGGUACUAAUCAUGGAUAGAAUUUCUGUGAAAGUCAUGUCUUGCUCUUGCAAAAU